rnacentral:rRNA from 1 species
AUGAACGCUGGCGGCGUGCCUAAUACAUGCAAGUCGAGCGAACAGAUGAGGAGCUUGCUCCUCUGACGUUAGCGGCGGACGGGUGAGUAACACGUGGAUAACCUACCUAUAAGACUGGGAUAACUUCGGGAAACCGGAGCUAAUACCGGAUAAUAUAUUGAACCGCAUGGUUCAAUAGUGAAAGACGGUUUUGCUGUCACUUAUAGAUGGAUCCGCGCCGCAUUAGCUAGUUGGUAAGGUAACGGCUUACCAAGGCAACGAUGCGUAGCCGACCUGAGAGGGUGAUCGGCCACACUGGAACUGAGACACGGUCCAGACUCCUACGGGAGGCAGCAGUAGGGAAUCUCCCGCAAUGGGCGAAAGCCUGACGGAGCAACGCCGCGUGAGUGAUGAAGGUCUUCGGAUCGUAAAACUCUGUUAUUAGGGAAGAACAAAUGUGUAAGUAACUAUGCACGUCUUGACGGUACCUAAUCAGAAAGCCACGGCUAACUACGUG